rnacentral:piRNA from 1 species
GGAUAAGCAAUGAGAAUUUCCUCCUCC